AGAGCAUAUUUAAUUGUUUCUGGUUUAAGAUGCCCCUAAAGUGAUGUCUGCUUUUUCUUCUUCCAAAAUAAAAAUUGUUGAUUUUAGCCAGGCUCUUUUCCAUUGGCACGCGCUACACUUCUGGAUGAGAAUACAGAAAAUGCCACCUUUAUCUUCACCUAAAACCACCUGGAUUCCAGCAAAGAAAUGGAAUCCAUCUAGAUAUCCGUCAGCAGAUGAAUGGGUCAUGAAGACGUAGUCCACGUGUACAAUGGAAUAUUUUCAGCUGUAAAGAGGAGCGAAAUUUGCAGGAAAAAAAUGGAUGGAUCUGGAAAACAUUAUGUAAAGUAAAGAAAUGCAGGCUCUGAAAGAGAUUGGCUGCAUAUGGCACUUGAAGUGUUAAACAGAAAAGGCUUCCUGUGAAAGACAGGGAUGCCAGCUCCUAGACCACCCUCGGCAUGAGAAGACAACAGAUGAUGGAGCACAGAUGAUUCUACUGGGACUGUCAUAAUGCUAACCACUGGACAAGACUGUCCCAUGCCUCACCCACUGACAGGACCCUGCCCAAACCGUGGACAAGCGGGACACUAGAGAGUUGAUCGACCUACUUUGCCUAAACAAGGUAGGCCAGACCCCCAAGUUUCUCCUUCACAGAAAAGUCUCUUGGGUCUUCUGGGCCUAGUGGAUGAAGAUUGACACCUGCCCCCAACAAAGUCAUCAAGACCAGGGGACCCUAGGGAAACCGUGCCGGGCGCAGUAAGUCGCUGACAUUUUAAUUGAUACACAGGCCAUUUGGAUUAUACUUUCUGCUAGAGUGUAUCCUUCUCAGAGUUCUGGAUAUCAACAGUGACAGCUAACUGUAGCUUUAUGUUAACAAUAGCAGGCAUCCUCUCCCACACCACCUCCACUCCCACUCCCUAUCCUUGGCA